AGGGCUGGGCAUGCCUGGACAAGUUGGUGACACAAAUUGUUAUCAUUCUUAAUUCUCUAGUGGCUUCUACACACCUCGUCUGUGAGCCCCUCCAGGGUAAAGACCACAAGAUUCCUCCAUCUCUGUAUUCCCAACACCAUGGCUUAGCACUUAGAAGACACUGAAAUUAUAGUUCUUCUGGCUGCAUUAUUGCUCCUGGCUACCAUGGGAAGGCCACAAAGAAAUCUCCACAUGGGGCCUGAACCUCCUGGCAUUGCUGUGUAAUAAUUGUUCCUUUAUAUGGGAAUAGAGGGUUUUAAUCAAUGUCACCAUUUUUCUUAAGCAAGGAACACCUACUAAGGCCUCUGCAUAUUUCCCCAUAAUAUAUCUCUGUAUUUGCACAGAGGGAGAAUGAAUAACAUAGAAAAAUCCUCCCCUGGAGGCACUCCAUUUGGAAAUUCUGCUUGUUUUUUCUUUUGAUCAGGGAGAGCCCAUUGUUUCUGGAAUAAGCAAAGAAAAAUCUUAUAACAGGGUCUCCCCAUAAGCAGAAAUCAAAGAGGACUUCUCCAGGAAACAAAUCCAAGUAAAUUUCACCAUGGGCCUGCUAUUUUUUGCCCCAGGAAAGGGGUUUUAAGAAGGUGAUAGGCCGGGCGCAGUGGCUCAUGCCUGUAAUCCCAGCACUUUGGGAGGCCGAGGUGGGUGAAUCACCUGAAGUCAGGAGUUCAAGACCAGCCUGGCCAACAUGGUGAAGCUGCAUCUCUACUAAAAUUACAAAAAUAGCCAGGCAUGGUGGCAGGCGCCUGUAAUCCCAGCUACUCAGGAGGCUGAGGCAGGAGAGUCUCUUGAACCCAGGAGGCAGAGGUUGCACUGAACCUAGACCAUGCCAUGGCACUCCAGCCUGGGUGACAAGAGCGAAACUCUGUCUCCAAAAAAAAAGAAGAACAUAAGAUGUCUCUUCCAUAUAUGAGAACCACAGCUCAGUUUCCCUCCAGUGGCCCCCCUAUAGGCUGCUAGCCC
rnacentral:lncRNA from 10 species